UCACUAGCAUUCCUCUCUCUCUCUCUAUCUCUCCUUGAGUGUGUUUGUAGUAGGCAAUGGCCAGAUCCAAGGCUCUUCCUCUGCUAUUCUUUCUUGGCCUCCUAUCGUUCUCUUUCAGUCCGGCAAUAGCAACCAUCAAAUUCAACUUCUUUUACCUGACCCUCAUGGUACCCAUUGUUAUCAUGCUGGUUCAAAGAACAUCAACAUAGCUACCAC
rnacentral:lncRNA from 1 species